rnacentral:rRNA from 1 species
GAUGAACGCUGGCGGCGUGCCUAAUACAUGCAAGUCGAGCGAACAGACGAGGAGCUUGCUCCUCUGACGUUAGCGGCGGACGGGUGAGUAACACGUGGAUAACCUACCUAUAAGACUGGGAUAACUUCGGGAAACCGGCGCUAAUACCGGAUAAUAUAUUGAACCGCAUGGUUCAAUAGUGAAAGACGGUUUUGCUGUCACUUAUAGAUGGAUCCGCGCCGCAUUAGCUAGUUGGUAAGGUAACGGCUUACCAAGGCAACGAUGAGUAGCCGACCUGAGAGGGGGAUCGGCCACACGGGAACUGAGACACGGUCCAGACUCCUACGGGAGGCAGCAGUAGGGAAUCUUCCGCAAUGGGCGAAAGCUUGACGGAGCAACGCCGCGUGAGUGAUGAAGGUCUUCGGAUCGUAAAACUCUGUUAUUAGGGAAGAACAAAUGUGUAAGUAACUAUGCACGUCUUGACGGUACCUAAUCAGAAAGCCACGGCUAACUACGUG